rnacentral:rRNA from 1 species
UGCGUAGGCGGGUCUUUAAGUCAGGGGUGAAAUCCUGGAGCUCAACUCCAGAACUGCCUUUGAUACUGAGGAUCUUGAGUUCGGGAGAGGUGAGUGGAACUGCGAGUGUAGAGGUGAAAUUCGUAGAUAUUCGCAAGAACACCAGUGGCGAAGGCGGCUCACUGGCCCGAUACCGACGCUGAGGCACGAAAGCUGGGGAGCAAACA